rnacentral:rRNA from 1 species
GAUGAACGCUGGCGGCGUGCCUAAUACAUGCAAGUCGAGCGAACGGACGAGAAGCUUGCUUCUCUGAUGUUAGCGGCGGAAGGGUGAGUAACACGUGGAUAACCUACCUAUAAGACUGGGAUAACUUCGGGAAACCGGAGCUAAUACCGGAUGAUAUUUUGAAACGCAUGGUUCAAAAGUGAAAGACGGUCUUGCUGUCACUUAUAGAUGGAUCCGCGCUGCAUUAGCUAGUUGGUAAGGUAACGGCUUACCAAGGCAACGAUGCAUAUCCGACCUGAGAGGGUGAUCGGCCACACGGGAACGGAGACGCGGACCAGACGCCUACGGGAGGCAGCAGUAGGGAAUCUUCGGCAGUGGGCGAAAGCCUGACGGAGCAGCGCCGCGUGAGUGAUGAAGGUCUUCGGAUCGUAAAACUCUGUUAUUAGGGAAGAACAUAUGUGUAAGUAACUGUGCACAGCUUGACGGUACCUAAUCAGAAAGCCACGGCUAACUACGUG